rnacentral:rRNA from 1 species
GACGAACGCUGGCGGCGUGCCUAAUACGUGCAAGUAGAACGCUGAAGGUGGAGCUUUCUUCUCUGGAUGAGUUGCGAACGGGUGAGUACCGCGUAGGUAACCUGCCUUGUAGCGGGGGAUAACUAUUGGAAACAAUAGCUUAUACCGCAUAAUAGUAGUUGUUGCAUGACAUUUGCUUAAAAGGUGCAAUUGCAUCACUACCAGAUGGUCCUGCGUUGUAUUAGCUAGUUGGUGGGGUAACGGCUCACCAAGGCGACGAUACAUAGCCGACCUGAGAGGGGGAGCGGCCACACUGGGACGGGGACACGGCCCAGACUCCUACGGGAGGCAGCAGGAGGGAAGCUUCGGCAAUGGACGGAAGGCGGACCGAGCAACGCCGCGUGAGUGAAGAAGGGUGUCGGAUCGUAAAGCUCUGUUGUGAGAGAAGAACGAGUGUGAGAGUGGAAAGUUCACACAGUGACGGUAACUGACCAGAAAGGGACGGCUAACUACGUG